UUGCUAAUCUGUCAGCUAAGUGGCGCACGGGUGAGUAAUAUAUAGGUAACGUGCCUUCAAGAGGGGGAUAACAGAUGGAAACGUCUGCUAAAACCCCAUAUGCCUUUAAUGCGAAAGUAUGCAAGGGAAAUAUUUAUAGCUUGAAGAUCGGCCUGUACAGUAUCAGAUAGUUGGUGAGGUAAUGGCUCACCAAGUCAAUGACGCUUAACUGGUUUGAGAGGAUGAUCAGUCACACUGGAACUGAGACACGGUCCAGACUCCUACGGGAGGCAGCAGUGGGGAAUAUUGCACAAUGGGGGAAACCCUGAUGCAGCAACGCCGCGUGGAGGAUGACACAUUUCGGUGCGUAAACUCCUUUUAUAUAAGAAGAUAAUGACGGUAUUAUAUGAAUAAGCACCGGCUAACUCCGUGCCAGCAGCCGCGGUAAUACGGAGGGUGCAAGCGUUACUCGGAAUCACUGGGCGUAAAGAGCGUGUAGGCGGAUAGAUAAGUCAGAAGUGAAAUCCAAUAGCUUAACUAUUGAACUGCUUUUGAAACUGUCUAUCUAGAGUAUGGGAGAGGUAGAUGGAAUUUCUGGUGUAGGGGUAAAAUCCGUAGAGA
rnacentral:rRNA from 1 species